AAUAGGAGAAUGAAAAAUUAGAUUUUCCUCCUGAUUUUCAACUUUUUCUUCUUGAAAAUUUUCAAAUUCAACUAAAAAUGUUGAAAAUCAGGAGGAAAAAUCAAAUUUUCAUUCUCUUAUU
rfam:Gossypium raimondii Chr10_contig_46, whole genome shotgun sequence.